UACGGAGGGAGCUAGCGUUGUUCGGAAUUACUGGGCGUAAAGCGCACGUAGGCGGCUUAUCAAGUCAGGGGUGAAAUCCCGGAGCUCAACUCCGGAACUGCCUUUGAAACUAGAUGGCUUGAAUCUUGGAGAGGCGAGUGGAAUUCCGAGUGUAGAGGUGAAAUUCGUAGAUAUUCGGAAGAACACCAGUGGCGAAGGCGACUCGCUGGACAAGUAUUGACGCUGAGGUGCGAAAGCGUGGGGAGCAAACAGG
rnacentral:rRNA from 1 species